rnacentral:rRNA from 1 species
CGCUAUCACUCCUACGGGGAGGCAGCAGUAGGGAAUACUUCCACAAUGGGCGCAAGCCUGAUGGAGCAACACCGCGUGAGUGAAGAAGGGUUUCGGCUCGUAAAGCUCUGUUGUUAAAGAAGAACACGUAUGAGAGUAACUGUUCAUACGUUGACGGUAUUUAACCAGAAAGUCACGGCUAACUACGUGCCAGCAGCCGCGGUAAUACGUAGGUGGCAAGCGUUAUCCGGAUUUAUUGGGCGUAAAGAGAGUGCAGGCGGUUUUCUAAGUCUGAUGUGAAAGCCUUCGGCUUAACCGGAGAAGUGCAUCGGAAACUGGAUAACUUGAGUGCAGAAGAGGGUAGUGGAACUCCAUGUGUAGCGGUGGAAUGCGUAGAUAUAUGGAAGAACACCAGUGGCGAAGGCGGCUACCUGGUCUGCAACUGACGCUGAGACUCGAAAGCAUGGGUAGCGAACAGGAUUAGAUACCCUGGUAG